GUAGUUGAAUUUUAGCCCUGGCUGAGCGGUCCACCAAUUGGCUGGCACUGCUUCGGCUGGGGUUCACUUUCUGGUGAGCCAGUAUGCCCUUCAUUGGGUGUAUUGGGGAACCAGGACUUUUACCUUGAAAAAAUUAGAGUGUUCAAAGCAGGCCUAUGCUUGAAUACAUUAGCAUGGAAUAAUAGAAUAGGACUUCGGUUCUAUUUUGUUGGUUUCUAGGACCGAAGUAAUGAUUAAUAGGGAUAGUUGGGGGCAUUAGUAUUUAGUAGCUAGAGGUGAAAUUCUUGGAUUUACGAAAGACUAACUUCUGCGAAAGCAUUUGCCAAGGAUGUUUUCAUUAAUCAAGAACGAAAGUUAGGGGAUCGAAGACGAUCAGAUACCGUCGUAGUCUUAACCAUAAACUAUGCCGACUAGGGAUCAGACGAUGUUAAUUUACUGACUCGUUUGGCACCUUAUGAGAAAUCAAAGUUUUUGGGUUCCGGGGGGAGUAUGGUCGCAAGGCUGAAACUUAAAGGAAUUGACGGGAGGGCACCACCAGGAGUGGAGCCUGCGGCUUAAUUUGACUCAACACGGGGAAACCCACCAGGUCCAGACAUAGUAAGGAUUGACAGAUUGAGAGCUCUUUCUUGAUUCUAUGGGUGGUGGUGCAUGGCCGUUCUUAGUUGGUGGAGUGAUUUGUCUGCUUAAUUGCGUUAACGAACGAGACCUUAACCUGCUAAAUAGUUAUGCCAACUCUUGUUGGUAGUCAACUUCUUAGAGGGACUGUCGGCGAUUAGCCGACGGAAGUUUUAGGCAAUAACAGGUCUGUUAUGCCCUUAGAUGUCCUGGGCCGCACGCGCGCUACACUGAUGAAGUCAACGAGUUUAUAACCUUGGCCGGAAGGU
rnacentral:rRNA from 1 species